AGGCGGGAGGGGGAGGAGCAGGCGCGCGGCCUCGCCGCUACCUGGCUCCUUCCAACGCGGCCGCUCGCGGGGUGCGCCGGGGGCUCCGAUGGGAACCGAGCGCGGGGGACCCGGGACCACACAGCUCCGAAGCACUUUCCCAAGCCCGAAGGAGCCCUCGCUGCACCCCGAACCCGUUCUCCGCGUCCUGCUUUCUCCGAAGGGAAAAAAAAAAGGAGAGAAAGAGAGAGAAGCAAGCAGAUGCGGCGCAAAGCGGGGCGCAGGACGGCAAGGGGCCGCUUCCAGCCUGGAGGGACUUUUCUUGGAAAGGUGGAGACCCCCGGAGGAGUGCGACUCCCCAAGGGCCCGAUGCUCUGGAGCGAAAAGGCGUUCGCUGGUCAGCCUUGCUGCCAGAAAAUUUAGCAAACUUCGGGCAGAUCCUCCCACCUGGGGCGAGAGCUCUGGCUGGCCUGGGGCUCAGCCCCGGGACCUUUCCUUUCACACUUUAAGAGCCUCAAGGCACUUUUUCCGUGGAAACCAGGCCAGCGCGAGGACAACUUCGCUGAGCUUGGUGCUAGGCUAGAGUCGGAGGCUUUUGAGUUUCCUUUUAAAACAGUAUUAAUGUAAUAAGGAACGCAAUAAAAAGAACAAAGGACAAAUUGGUUCAA
rnacentral:lncRNA from 1 species